CGACGACGUUGAUAGGCCGGAUGUGUAAGCGCAGCGAUGCGUUGAGCUAACCGGUACUAAUGAACCGUGAGGCUUAACCUUACAACGCCGAAGGUGUUU
rnacentral:rRNA from 1 species